AGUGAACGCUGGCGGCAGGCCUAACACAUGCAAGUCGAGCGGCAGCGGGUCCCCGCGAGGGGAUGCCGGCGAGCGGCGGACGGGUGAGGAACACAUCGGAAUCUGCCUGGUUGUGGGGGAUAACGUAGGGAAACUUACGCUAAUACCGCAUGCGACCCUGAGUCGACGGACUGGGGGGUGAAAGUGAGGGACCUUCGGGCCUCACGCGACCAGAUGAGCCGAUGUCGGAUUAGCUAGUUGGCGGGGUAACGGCCCGCCAAGGCGACGAUCCGUAGCUGGUCUGAGAGGAUGAUCAGCCACACUGGGACUGAGACACGGCCCAGACUCCUACGGGAGGCAGCAGUGGGGAAUCUUGGACAAUGGGCGCAAGCCUGAUCC
rnacentral:rRNA from 1 species